UACGGAGGGUGCAAGCGUUAUCCGGAUUUACUGGGUUUAAAGGGUGCGUAGGUGGGUCUGUAAGUCAGUGGUGAAAUCUCCGGGCUUAACCCGGAAACUGCCAUUGAUACUAUAGGUCUUGAAUAUCCUGGAGGUGAGCGGAAUAUGUCAUGUAGCGGUGAAAUGCUUAGAUAUGACAUAGAACACCAAUUGCGAAGGCAGCUCACUACGGGAUUAUUGACACUGAGGCACGAAAGCGUGGGGAGCAAACAGG
rnacentral:rRNA from 1 species